CCUACGGUGGGCAGCAGUGGGGAAUAUUGGACAAUGGGGGGAACCCUGAUCCAGCCAUGCCGCGUGUGUGAAGAAGGCCCUCGGGUUGUAAAGCACUUUCAGUGAGGAAGAACGCCUGGUGGUUAAUACCCAUCAGGAAAGACAUCACUCACAGAAGAAGCACCGGCUAACUCCGUGCCAGCAGCCGCGGUAAUACGGAGGGUGCGAGCGUUAAUCGGAAUUACUGGGCGUAAAGCGCGCGUAGGUGGCUUGAUAAGCCGGUUGUGAAAGCCCCGGGCUCAACCUGGGAACGGCAUCCGGAACUGUCAAGCUAGAGUGCAGGAGAGGAAGGUAGAAUUCCCGGUGUAGCGGUGAAAUGCGUAGAGAUCGGGAGGAAUACCAGUGGCGAAGGCGGCCUUCUGGACUGACACUGACACUGAGGUGCGAAAGCGUGGGUAGCAAACAGGAUUAGAUACCCCAGUAGUC
rnacentral:rRNA from 1 species